rnacentral:misc_RNA from 1 species
AUACUGCCAUUAGGGCAGACGGAACCUUGUACAUCGUGUUCUUUUGUUUAGUUUUGAAGGAUGUAUGCCUUCAAAAUUGUUCUUUGAAAACUGAAUAGUUGAAUCGACAUUUAAUUUAUAAAUUAUUUGAAGACAACACCGAGACAUAAUCAUUAAUUUGAUUUAAAACGUUGAAAAGAGUCUAUUUAUUAAGUUUAAUAAAUGAGAGUAACAAUUUUUUAACGCUACACAUAUGCUUAACUUAACCAGACGG